GGCCCAAUGGUCUAGUGGUAAGAUACUUGCUUUGGGUUGCCUGGUGGCAUAAAUUUGCAAGGGAUCCUGGGUUCGAACCCCAGUUGGGCCC
rnacentral:tRNA from 1 species